AUGUGGAAGCAGUUCCUCAGCAAGCUGCCGCGGACCAAGUCCACGCGGGACGGCGGCGGCGGCGACUCGGGCCAGUGCAGCGGCGGCGGCAAUGGCAACCCGAUACAGCGCACCAGCAGCGUGCCGGCGGGCGGGGGCGGCCGCUCCGCCUCCACCAUCAAGCGCAUGUCGUCGGCGGUCUUCCCCUCCAGCGUCGUGGCCGGGAUCGAGCCGCUCGUCGCCUUCAAGGACGUGCCCGGCUCGGAGCGCCACAACCUGUUCGUCAGCAAGCUCGGCCUCUGCUGCGCCGUCUUCGACUUCUCCGACCCGGCCAAGAGCUCCGCCGAGAAGGACAUCAAGCGGCAGACGCUGCUGGAUCUCAUCGACUUCGUCGACUCCAGCAGCGGCCGCUUCCCGGAGGCCGUCAUCGCCGCCUGCUCCAGGAUGCUCGCCGUCAACCUCUUCCGGGUGUUCCCCCCGAGCUACAGGUCCGGCGCUGGCUCGUCAUCCGGCGGCGGCGGCGAGGGCGACGAGGACGAGCCGAUGUUCGACCCCGCCUGGUGCCACCUGCAGCUGGUGUACGAGCUGCUGCUCAAGUUCAUCGGGUCCAACUCCCUGGAUGCCAAGAUAGGGAAGAAGUACUUCGACCACUCCUUCAUCGUCAGGCUGCUCAACCUCCUCGACUCCGAGGACCCCAGGGAGCGAGACUCCCUCAAGACCAUCCUCCACAGGAUCUACGGCAAGUUCAUGGUGCACCGGCCGUUCAUCCGCAAGGCGGUGAGCAACAUAUUCUACCACUUCGUGUUCGAGACCCAGCGGCACAACGGGAUCGCCGAGCUGCUCGAGGUGUUCGGCAGCGUCAUCAGUGGCUUUGCAUUGCCUCUCAAGGAAGAACACAAGAUCUUUCUCUGGAGAGUUCUGAUUCCUCUGCACAAGCCGAAGUCAGUUGGGGUGUAUCUCCAGCAGUUGACAUACUGCGUGACACAGUUUCUAGAAAAGGACCCCAAGCUUGCCGGAUCGAUAAUCAUUGGUCUGCUGAGAUAUUGGCCUGUGACAAAUAGCCAGAAGGAGGUGAUGUUCCUGAGUGAGAUCGAGGAGAUCCUGGAGGCUACCAGCAUGGUGGAGUUCCAGAAAUGUAUGGUUCCGUUGUUUCGGCGGAUAGCUCAUUGCAUCAACAGUUCCCACUUCCAGGUUGCUGAAAGAGCACUCUUCAUGUGGAACAAUGAUCACAUCAUCAGCCUGGUGGCACAAAACCGGCAAGUGAUCAUGCCCAUCAUCGUUCCAGCGCUAGAACAGAACGGCCAGAACCACUGGAACCACGCGGUCCUGAACCUGACCGCCAAUGUGAUGAAGAUGUUCUCCGAGAUGGACGAGGAACUAUUCUCGGCGUGCCUAACAAAGUGCAAGGAGGACGAGGAAAACCAGGCGUCGAUGGAGGAGAAACGGAGGCUGAAGUGGGCGAAACUAGAGUCCGCCGCAGCUCUCCAGCCAGUGACUGGCCACACCGCCGUCCUGGUAGGGUAG
rnacentral:rRNA from 1 species